AGUGAACGCUGGCGGUAGGCCUAACACAUGCAAGUCGAACGGCAGCACAGUAAGAGCUUGCUCUUACGGGUGGCGAGUGGCGGACGGGUGAGGAAUACAUCGGAAUCUACUUUUUCGUGGGGGAUAACGUAGGGAAACUUACGCUAAUACCGCAUACGACCUACGGGUGAAAGCAGGGGAUCUUCGGACCUUGCGCGAUUGAAUGAGCCGAUGUCGGAUUAGCUAGUUGGCGGGGUAAAGGCCCACCAAGGCGACGAUCCGUAGCUGGUCUGAGGAUGAUCAGCCACACUGGAACUGAGACACGGUCCAGACUCCUACGGGAGGCAGCAGUGGGGAAUAUUGGACAAUGGGCGCAAGCCUGAUCCAGCCAUACCGCGUGGGUGAAGAAGGCCUUCGGGUUGUAAAGCCCUUUUGUUGGGAAAGAAAAGCAGCAGGUUAAUACCCCGCUGUUCUGACGGUACCCAAAGAAUAAGCAUCGGCUAACUUCGUG
rnacentral:rRNA from 1 species